rnacentral:rRNA from 1 species
AUACGUAGGGUGCGAGCGUUAAUCGGAAUUACUGGGCGUAAAGCGUGCGCAGGCGGCGAUGCAAGACAGGUGUGAAAUCCCCGGGCUUAACCUGGGAACUGCACUUGUGACUGCAUGGCUAGAGUGCGUCAGAGGGGGGUGGAAUUCCGCGUGUAGCAGUGAAAUGCGUAGAGAUGCGGAGGAACACCGAUGGCGAAGGCAGCCCCCUGGGAUGACACUGACGCUCAGGCACGAAAGCGUGGGGAGCAAACAGGAUUAGAUACCCUGGUAGUCCACGCCCUAAACGAUGUCAACUAGUUGUCGGGGAUUCAUUUCCUUGGUAACGCAGCUAACGCGUGAAGUUGACCGCCUGGGGAGUACGGCCGCAAGGUUAAA